CAGUAGCCACGGUAAUACGUAGGUGGCAAGCGUUGUCCGGAAUUAUUGGGCGUAAAGGGCUCGCAGGCGGUUUCUUAAGUCUGAUGUGAAAGCCCCCGGCUCAACCGGGGAGGGUCAUUGGAAACUGGGAAACUUGAGUGCAGAAGAGGAGAGUGGAAUUCCACGUGUAGCGGUGAAAUGCGUAGAGAUGUGGAGGAACACCAGUGGCGAAGGCGACUCUCUGGUCUGUAACUGACGCUGAGGAGCGAAAGCGUGGGGAGUGAACAGGAUUAGAGACCCCUGUAGUCCCUGUCUCUUAUAA
rnacentral:rRNA from 1 species